rnacentral:lncRNA from 1 species
GGCGGGUUCUGCUGGGAGCCGUGUAAACAAACACCCGCGCUGAUUGAGUCCCUCCCUGCGGGUCCGCGUCCACCCCAGAGUUCUGGCCUCUCUGCGCCUUCACGAUUUCCUACGGUUGCCCAGGAGUUGUUCCGCUUACAGAUCUGCUGACAAUCUUGGAAAGAGAGGGAUAACAUGAAAUGUCUAUUACUGCCUCGUUGAAGAUACCAUGUUCUCUGUAAGAACACAGUUUUGAAAGUCAAAUACAGAUGACGAGGUGCACACUGACCAUUCAGAAGCAGAGUCGGUCCCGUGUUUCACUGCAGCGACUCAGGGCGUGAGUGAGGACAUUCUCUCCAUUUCAUCCACUGACCAGGGGUAAAGGUCAGCGGUUGCAGCAACAGGAGCUUCAAGGUGCUUCUAUUGACGUCACCUCAUUGUUCCUCACAACAAGUCUGAGACGUCUAGAUAGAUGUGAUCGUUACUUCACUUCAGAAGUGAAGUUAAGAGGGGAAACCUCAACUAAAUCAGUUUGGGAAGGCCUGUACGGGGAGCUCUCACGCCUUAUCGUACAUCAUCAAUUACUCCAACCAGGAAGAGACUAUGCUUGCAUCUCCAACAGGAGGGUAUUUUCUACUUCACUACCCAGCAGGAGGAA